rnacentral:rRNA from 1 species
CAGCAGCCGCGGUAAUACGUAGGUGGCAAGCGUUGUCCGGAAUUAUUGGGCGUAAAGGGCUCGCAGGCGGCUUCUUAAGUCUGAUGUGAAAGCCCCCGGCUCAACCGGGGAGGGUCAUUGGAAACUGGGAAACUUGAGUGCGGAAGAGGAGAGUGGAAUUCCACGUGUAGCGGUGAAAUGCGUAGAGAUGUGGAGGAACACCAGUGGCGAAGGCGACUCUCUGGUCUGUAACUGACGCUGAGGAGCGAAAGCGUGGGGAGCGAACAGGAUUAGAUACCCCAGUAGUCCCUGUCUCUUAUAC